rnacentral:tRNA from 1 species
GGGGAUGUAGCUGAGUGGUAGAGCAUUUGUUUAGCAUGUGCAGGGCCCUGGGUUCAAUCCCCAGUACUGCCA